rnacentral:lncRNA from 1 species
AGCUGGGACUGCAGGCGCCCGCCACCAUGCCUGGCUAAUUUUUUGUAUGUUUAGUAGAGACGGGGUUUCACCGUGUUAGCCAGGAUGGUCUCUAUCUCCUGACCUUGUGAUCUGCCUGCCUCGGCCUCCCGAAGUGCCGGGAUUACAAGCGUGAGCCACCAUUCCCGGCCCAAAGAGGAGAAGAAGUAUGAAGUGCUUGCUUGGACCUUUCUACUGUGCUUAUUAUUCUGUCUUCUCCUCAUGGCAAAAGCUGACAAACGGUUUAUAUCAGAAGGUGGAAUCG